rnacentral:rRNA from 1 species
AUUGAACGCUGGCGGCAUGCCUUACACAUGCAAGUCGAACGGCAGCACGGGGCAACCUGGUGGCGAGUGGCGAACGGGUGAGUAAUGCAUCGGAACGUACCUUUCAGUGGGGGAUAACGUAGCGAAAGUUACGCUAAUACCGCGUAUUCUGUGAGCAGGAAAGCAGGGGAUCGCAAGACCUUGCGCUGAUUGAGCGGCCGAUGUCAGAUUAGCUAGUUGGUGAGGUAAAGGCUCACCAAGGCGACGAUCUGUAGCGGGUCUGAGCGGAUGAUCGGCCACACUGGAGCUGAGACCCGGACCGGACUCCUACGGGAGGCAGCAGUGGGGAAUUUUGGACAAUGGGGGCAACCCUGAUCCAGCCAUGCCGCGUGAGUGAAGAAGGCCUUCGGGUUGUAAAGCUCUUUCGGCCGGGAAGAAAUCGCACGGGCUAAUACCCUGUGUGGAUGACGGUACCGGAAUAAGAAGCACCGGCUAACUACGUGCCAGCCGCCGCAGUAACAC